GACGAACGCUGGCGGCGUGCUUAACACAUGCAAGUCGAACGGAAAGGCCCUGCUUUUGUGGGGUGCUCGAGUGGCGAACGGGUGAGUAACACGUGAGUAACCUGCCCUUGACUUUGGGAUAACUUCAGGAAACUGGGGCUAACACCGGAUAGGAGCUCCUGCUGCAUGGUGGGGGUUGGAAAGUUUCGGCGGUUGGGGAUGGACUCGCGGCUUAUCAGCUUGUUGGUGGGGUAGUGGCUUACCAAGGCUUUGACGGUAGCCGGCCUGAGAGGGUGACCGGCCACAUUGGGACUGAGAUACGGCCCAGACUCCUACGGGAGGCAGCAGUGGGGAAUAUUGCACAAUGGGCGGAAGCCUGAUGCAGCAACGCCGCGUGCGGGAUGACGGCCUUCGGGUUGUAAACCGCUUUCGCCUGUGACGAAGCGUGAGUGACGGUAAUGGGUAAAGAAGCACCGGCUAACUACGUG
rnacentral:rRNA from 1 species